UAGGGAAUCUUCCGCAAUGGACGCAAGUCUGACGGAGCAACGCCGCGUGAGUGAAGAAGGUUUUCGGUUCGUAAAACUCUGUUGUUAGAGAAUAACAGCGCAUAGAGUAACUGUUAUGCGUGUGUCGGUAUCUAACCAGAAUGCUACGGCUAACUACGUUCUAGCAGCCGCGGUAAUACGUAGGUGGCAAGCGUUGUCCGGAUUUAUUGGGCGUAAAGCGAUCGCAGGCGGUCAAUUAAGUCUGAUGUGAAAGCCCCCGGCUCAACCGGGACGGUUCAUUGGAAACUCGUUGACUUGAGUGCAGAAGAGGAGAGUGGAAUUCCAUGUGUAGCGGUGAAAUGCGUAGAUAUAUGGAGGAACACCAGUGGCGAAGGCGACUCUCUGGUCUGUAACUGACGCUGAGGUUCGAAAGCGUGGGUAGCAAACAGG
rnacentral:rRNA from 1 species